rnacentral:rRNA from 1 species
UUUAGUCGAUUAGUACGGCUACAGGCGAUGACGGGUAGCCGGCCUGAGAGGGCGAUCGGCCACACCGGGACUGAGACACGGCCCGGACUCCUACGGGAGGCAGCAGUAGGGAAUCUUGCACAAUGGGCGCAAGCCUGAUCCAGCCAUGCCGCGUGGGGGAUGAAGGCCUUCGGGUUGUAAACCCCUUUCAGCAGGGAAGAAGCCACGGGUUACCGUGGUGACGGUACCUGCAUAACAAACCCCGGCUAACUACGUGCCGGCAGCCGCGGGC